CAAAAAAAGUAGCGAAGUAUGUGAGCCAUGUGCCGAGAAAAGCCGCUAUUGUUUUAUAUGUGCCCGUACCGUAAACCGACACAGGUGGAUGAGGAGAGAAUCCUAAGGCCGACGGAAGAAGCAUUGUUAAGGAACUCGGCAAAAUGACCCCGUAACUUCGGGAGAAGGGGUGCCCACUUCAGGGUGGGCCGCAGAGAAUAGGCUCAAGCAACUGUUUAGCAAAAACACAGGUCUAUGCGAAACCGUAAGGUGAAGUAUAUGGGCUGACGCCUGCCCGGUGCUGGAAGGUUAAGAGGAGAGGUUAGUCGCAAGAUGAAGCUUUGAAUUUAAGCCCCAGUAAACGGCGGCCGUAACAAUAACGGUCCUAAGGUAGCGAAAUUCCUUGUCGGGUAAGUUCCGACCCGCACGAAAGGCGUAAUGAUUUGAGCACUGUCUCGACAAUGCAUCCGGUGAAAUUGAAGUACCAGUGAAGAUGCUGGUUACCCGCGCCAGGACGGAAAGACCCCAUGGAGCUUUAUUCCAGUUUGGUACUGGGAUUCGGUACUGCAUGUACAGGAUAGGUGGGAGACUGAGAAAUUGGAACGCCAGUUUCAAUGGAGUCACUGUUGGGAUACCACCCCUGCAGUAUUGGGUUUCUAACCAGCCGCUGUGAUCCAGCGGUGGGACAAUGCCAGGCGGGGAGUUUGACUGGGGCGGUCGCCUCCGAAAGGGUAUCGGAGGCGCUCAAAGGUUCCCUCAGAAUGGUCGGAAACCAUUUUAAGAGUGCAAAGGCAGAAGGGAGCUUGACUGCGACACCGACGGGUGGAGCAGGUACGAAAGUAGGACUUAGUGAUCCGGUGGCAUAAAGUGGGAUUGCCAUCGCUCAACGGAUAAAAGCUACCCUGGGAUAACAGGCUUAUCACUCCCAAGAGUUCACAUCGACGGAGUGGUUUGGCACCUCGAUGUCGGCUCAUCGCAUCCUGGGGCUGUAGCAGGUCCCAAGGGUUGGGCUGUUCGCCCAUUAAAGCGGUACGCGAGCUGGGUUCAGAACGUCGUGAGACAGUUCGGUCCCUAUCCGGCGCGGGCGGAGGAUAUUUGAGAGGAGCUGUCCUUAGUACGAGAGGACCGGGAUGGACGGACCACUGGUGUAUCUGCUGUCGACCAACGGCAUGGCAGAGUAGCCAAGUCCGGAAGGGAUAAACGCUGAAGGCAUCUAAGCGUGAAGCCCCCCUCAAGAUGAGAUAUCCCUCACAUAAGUGAGUAAGAUCCCUUGAAGAGUACAAGGUAGAUAGGGCAGAGGUGGAAGCAUGGUAACAUGUGGAGCUGACUGUUACUAAUCGAUCGAGGGCUUGACC
rnacentral:rRNA from 1 species